AGUGAACGCUGGCGGCGUGCCUAAUACAUGCAAGUCGAACGGAGUGUCGCACGGGUGAGCAAUAUAUAGCUAAUCUGCCCCUUGCUGGAGGACAACAGUUAGAAAUGACUGCUAAUACUCCAUAGUAAGGGAUGAGACUAUAUCGUAUCAGGUAGUCGGUGGGGUAACGGCCUACCGAGGCUAGGACGCGUAACUGGUCUGAGAGGAUGAGCAGGCACAUUGGAACUGAGACACGGUCCAAGCUCCUACGGGAGGCAGCAGGAGGGAAGAGUGCGCAAUGGGGGAAACCCUGACGCAGCAACGCCGCGUGGAGGAUGACACUUUUCGGAGCGUAAACUCCUUGUGUUAGGGAAGCGGUACCUAACGAAUAAGCACCGGCUAACUCCGUGCCAGCAGCCGCGGUAAUAC
rnacentral:rRNA from 1 species